GAGGAGAACGUAGCGAAAUGCGAUAAGUAAUGUGAAUUGCAGAAUUCAGUGAAUCAUCGAAUCUUUGAACGCACAUUGCGCCCCUUGGUAUUCCAUGGGGCAUGCCUGUUCGAGCGUCAUUUGUACCUUCAAGCUUUGCUUGGUGUUGGGUGUUUGUCUCGCCUUUGCGUGUAGACUCGCCUUAAAAUAAUUGGCAGCCGGCGUAUUGAUUUCGGAGCGCAGUACAUCUCGCGCUUUGCACUCAUAACGACAGCGUCCAAAAGUACAUUUUACACUCUUGACCUCGGAUCAGGUAGGGAUACCCGCUGAACUUAAGCAUAUCAAUAAGCGGAGGA
rnacentral:misc_RNA from 1 species